UACAGAGGUCUCAAGCGUUUGUUCGGAUUCAUUGGGCGUAAAGGGUGCGUAGGUGGCGCGGUAAGUCGGGUGUGAAAUUCGCGGCUUAACUCCGAAACUGCAUUCGAUACUACGGUGCUUGAGGACUGGAGAGGAGACUGGAAUUAGGUGUAGCAGUGAAAUGCGUAGAUAUCGUAAGGAAGACCAGUGGCGAAGGCGGGUCUCUGGACAGUUCCUGACGCUGAGGCACGAAGGCCAGGGGAGCAAAACGGG
rnacentral:rRNA from 1 species